rnacentral:rRNA from 1 species
UACGGGGGGGGCAAGCGUUGUUCGGAAUUACUGGGCGUAAAGGGCGCGUAGGCGGCCUGUUAAGUCGAACGUGAAAUCCCUGGGCUCAACCCAGGAACUGCGUCCGAUACUGGCAGGCUUGAAUUCGGGAGAGGGAUGCGGAAUUCCAGGUGUAGCGGUGAAAUGCGUAGAUAUCUGGAGGAACACCAGCGGCGAAGGCGGCGCUCUGGGCCGGAACUGACGCUGAGGAGCGAAAGCGUGGGUAGCAAACAGG